UUCAUGCGACCUUCGAAGCUUUGCUGUCUUUACGAGAAAAGCACCCCCAUCCUCGCGAAUAUUCUCCAUUGCCACCCACCACUAACAAAACAGCAACUUGCUCUUUCAUUAAAUACAAUUACUCCCUCUCUUCCAUCCAUGUUCUCUCUUCUUUCUUUCUAUGCAUAUAAUUUGUUGUUAUUUCGAUCUCAGCCAUCGAUCGAUAAUUUCCAUCCAUCAGAGCCACAACCAUCGUCAAGCACGAUCUUCAGGGUGAUCACGAUAUGAAGAACAAAGUAAAGGGCGGUAAUAUUCACUGUCAGCAAAAGAAGAGGAGAAGUUAUGGCAAACCUAAAUGCAUGGCGUCUCGUUGUUGCCCUUGUUUUGCAGUGUCGUCAAUAGCUAGAAGGAUGGGGAGAUGCCUGUUUGUAAGCUGUUACCCUGUCAUGCAGUGCUUUCGAUUGGAUGACCACAGACAUCAGCAUGACCAUCACAAGCAUUUUCAUUCCUUCUGAAUUUUGUAUCAUUUUCUCUUUUUUUUUUAAGGUUUGGUCCAAUCACGAUUUUUUGAGUUUGUACCAUAUUAAUGAAGAAAAGAAGUUGUUAUAUGAUUCUUUGGUGUAUUUAUUUAUGCAAGGAUUUUAUGAUCAAGCUACCUUGAUUUUUGGCCUCAGUACUUGCACAGUCCUAUAUGCUGAUUGCUUUGUUAGAGACAUGAAGGAGAAAGAGAAGAAAAGGAAAGGUUUGGAGGUUGUAUAAGAGAUCGGUUGAAUCUGGGGAAGCUGAACACUUCGAGGAAUCAAAGUUAGUAGGGAAGGUUCUGUGCUUUAUAUAAUUGCUAUCAUCCGGCGCUUUAUGGAUUUGGAGAGCUGAUACUCAUUCAUUGCAGCAUUUUUGUCUCAACUGAUUUAAUCAAUUAUUGGAUUGAAAAUUCAUGUUGACUUUGUAAGCAUACAUGUUUUUGAGAAUCAAGUCCAGGCAGAGCUGCCUGGUAACCAGGGAAUUCUAUUAAAAUCUUUGGUUAAGGCCAUCUCUGAUUUGAUUCUGUAAACAUCAAGCAUAUGCUACGCGUAUCAUUGCCAAAAUUUGCCUUUUGUAGUCAGGGAAAAUCAGAAACAGAGUAAUCAACACAGAAGUGAAUUAUGACCAUGAUUGGAUUUUUUAGACAUGUAUAUAUGUGAUUCAUAGCA